rnacentral:RNase_P_RNA from 1 species
ACGCCUGGGGGGGAAACCCACGACCAGUGCAACAGAGAGCAAACCGCCGAUGGCCCGCGCAAGCGGGAUCAGGUAAGGGUGAAAGGGUGCGGUAAGAGCGCACCGCGCGGCUGGUAACAGUCCGUGGCACGGUAAACUCCACCCGGAGCAAGGCCAAAUAGGGGUUCAUAAGGUACGGCCCGUACUGAACCCGGGUAGGCUGCUUGAGCCAGUGAGCGAUUGCUGGCCUAGAUGAAUGACUGUCCACGACAGAACCCGGCUUAUCGGUCAGUUUCACCU